AUUUUAUGCAAGCUGUGGCAAUUGCAAUUUGCAGUGAAAAAAACUUGUCGAAAGGUCUUUUAAAGAUAUCAGCGACCAUAAAAUGAAAAAAUCAUUGGAGAUUGGCUUAACCAAGCCCACACAAUAGUUGGGGAGCAAUUGGAUCACAAA